CUGGAGCUCUGACAGCUGUCUUGUGUUGAGAAGUAAGAAGGAGCCAGGAAACUGGUCUGUGAAGCUGCCCGCCAGUCCUAGAAUGCUUACCUCUUGACUCUUUUAUUUAAGAGAUGAACUUCCAGUACUGUUUUCCAUGUUGGGUUUAUCCUCACACUAGCAUCCAUUUGAGAUGGCCACAACAGCCAGAGUUGGGGCAAGCUGAAGCCUGGAGCCAAGAACUUCAUCCAGAUCUCCCAGGGAUUUUCACAGGGCGCUGGAGCAGCCAAGAUUCAAAGCAGCACCGGUAUGGGAUGCCAGUAACACAGGUAAAAGUCGCUGCACCACAGCACCGGCCCCCACAAAGUGGACAUUAAUCUCAUUUGAUGAUAAAGAAAUAGACUCAAGGAAGUGAAGAAUCUUGUAAGCAGGAGCUGGAACCACAAGGGGAGCAACCAGGACUCGAACCAGUGCUUUGAUAAGGGAUGCUGGCUUCACAAGCAGUGCGCUUCACCAAAUCACCAGCCCCAGUUCACUAGAGAAAAGACCUUUUUAAUGACUGGGUCCAUGCUCAGGAGGACAGACCCUGGAGCCAGUGGUUUUGCUGCUAAUCGCGGACCUGGG